GAGUUUGAUCAUGGCUCAGAUUGAACGCUGGCGGCAGGCCUAACACAUGCAAGUCGAGCGGUAGAGAGAAGCUUGCUUCUCUUGAGAGCGGCGGACGGGUGAGUAAUGCCUAGGAAUCUGCCUGGUAGUGGGGGAUAACGCUCGGAAACGGACGCUAAUACCGCAUACGUCCUACGGGAGAAAGCAGGGGACCUUCGGGCCUUGCGCUAUCAGAUGAGCCUAGGUCGGAUUAGCUAGUUGGUGAGGUAAUGGCUCACCAAGGCGACGAUCCGUAACUGGUCUGAGAGGAUGAUCAGUCACACUGGAACUGAGACACGGUCCAGACUCCUACGGGAGGCAGCAGUGGGGAAUAUUGGACAAUGGGCGAAAGCCUGAUCCAGCCAUGCCGCGUGUGUGAAGAAGGUCUUCGGAUUGUAAAGCACUUUAAGUUGGGAGGAAGGGCAGUAAAUUAAUACUUUGCUGUUUUGACGUUACCGUACAGAAUAAGCACCGGCUAACUCUGUGCCAG
rnacentral:rRNA from 1 species